rnacentral:rRNA from 1 species
UACGUAGGCAGCGAGCGUUGUUCGGAGUUACUGGGCGUAAAGAGUGCGUAGGCGGUUUUCUAAGUUUGGUGUGAAAUCUCCCGGCUUAACUGGGAGGGUGCGCCGAAAACUGGAAGGCUUGAGUAUGGGAGAGGUAAGCGGAAUUCCUGGUGUAGCGGUGAAAUGCGUAGAUAUCGGAAGGAACACCAGUGGCGAAAGCGGCUUCCUGGUCCAGCACCGACGUUCAGGCACGAAAGCGUGGGGAGCAAACAGG